UAGUCUCCAUUACUGUAGCUCUCUCUGCAUUUUUUCUUGCGUAGGCUUCGAAAAACUCCUUGUUCUCUUUCUCCAAUUCCUUCCACACUGUAUUCAAAAGCAAAUACAUACAUGUCUUUUCACACACGUGCUCGUACAUAUGUGUGUGCGUGUGUACAUAUGUGUGUGUGCGUGUGAAUAGACAUACGUGUGCCCGCGCGUGUGCGUCGGACUUGAAAAAGGCAACUGAUAUGAAGAAUAUGAUACGAUGUAGUAUUUAUUACCUGUUGAUGUGAUGACG
rnacentral:lncRNA from 1 species